CAAUGUGCUGCCAUUCAUCUUCUCAUCAGAAAAGCACCCCUUCCUUCUGUGCUGAACAACCCAUAUCUAAUUUAUCUCAGCCAUGGAAAACAUGCUGUCCUCCACGUUCUGAAGCACUAUCGAGCCUCUAGUGAUGAAGCUGCACGAUGAGCUGAGAAUUUAGAAAAAAAGAGCAGCGAGAGCAAGCGAACUGGAGAGGCCCCCUGAUGAAAACCCAGUGACAACAGCUGUAAUCACAAGAGCGCAGGCAUUUGUUUUGUCAGCAGAAAAGAAAGCUUCAGCGGGGGAAGUGUGUUUUCACAAUGAGGCUUAUAUGACGGCUCCUGCCUCUGUGGACGUGAAUUUGAAUGUGUAUUAAGUGCUUGGACAGGUAGAAGAAUGAAGAGCGACAGCACUUGUUGCACCUGUGACACUGAUCCUCAUUUAGAAGUCUGGAACGGACCAGAUGAAGGUGGAAACACUGGCUGUGUGAUAUGAAGGGCGGAGCUCACUGCAGGCUCCCGCCCUUGGCACACACCUGCAUCUCGUCAGGCUCUGAUUACGGGUUGGACUCUUAAGGCCGGGAUGCAGACAGCCUCACCGCUGGAUGAUUAUGCUAGACACUUUUUCCCGGACCCGUGACCAACCUGUUAUUUCAACUGCUGUGGAGAAGAAGAGCUAGCGUGUUUGUGACUCCAAUCCCGGACCUCCCUUUCGGACCUAGGACCCCCGUUCCUCUCACUGUAUAUAUCUGCACUUGGUGAUUGUGUAAAUAAACGUUGUUUUCCCUGAACCCUGCUCUGCGCCUGAGUCCUACUACAC